GGGGGCGAUCGGCUUCGACGGGUGGUCGAAGGCGAGCGCUGCGUGCCGACGUCGUCACACCGUCGCUAAACAGGUGGCACCGUUGGUAGCCAAAAACUGCCGACUCUGAUUACGCACUCGCGGCCUAGCUAAAAACUAGGUAGCGACGUCCGUCCCCGACGCCUUCUAGGGGGUUGCGGGCGUCAUCAGAAGGCUGGCUCCCGGAGCGCUGCUCGACCGUAGCCGGGAGUGAGAACCACGUGGAGCUGGGUGCGGUGCUCUCGUCUUCGUGACCAACCGCGCCGAGAUCGAACGAAGGCUACGCACGUAGACGCGCUGGCUGGACGUCAUUCGGACGCGGGUUCGAUUCCCGCCGCCUCCACCA
rnacentral:tmRNA from 1 species